UGAACCAUCAAGCCCUCGAAAGUUAGAUGAUCGCUCAAUGCUAAAUUUAGGAGUACCAUAAUCAACAACUUUAGCCUUAACUUCACAUGGCAAUGCGCAAUUAUCUACCCAUAGAUGCAAAUUCCCAUCCACUAGCCAAAAUGGGAUACUAUCCGCCACUCCAAGACUCAAAAAGUGGGAUUUACCAUCAAGCAGAAGCCCCAAAAAUGGUGUUAAAUCAAUAUCAUAAGAAGGAAGAUCAAAGGCACCUAUUGAAACCACUGGUUCCCAGAACAAAGGAUUGAUUCCUCCUGUGAAAACCACUGGAAAUGGUACCAAAG
rnacentral:misc_RNA from 1 species